rnacentral:lncRNA from 1 species
UGCUCUUCCGAUCUCGGUCAUGGAGGUUGUAGGUGGUAGCUUGGCGUUCUAUCCACCGCUAACUGUAAGGACGAUAAAUACAUCAAUUAUUUAGUUAUAAAUGUCAUUUUGCACUUAUGUACAUACUUUUAUAAUUCACGAACACAUUACGAUAUCCUGAGAAUGUUUAUUUCUAAAGUAAUGCGUGUUAAAAUUGCAAUGAAUGAAUCGGUUGUUUGGGAGACGUUUCGAAUUGCUUACAUCCUAUAACAACUUAUAAUAGAUUUCCUUUCAUUUUAUGGAACCUUUUAUAGAAUGUUUACCAAUCUGACAACCCAAUCGAUCAUUAUUUAUGUUUGAGUGAAUUAGUAAAGAUGGAAUAACUUCCGCUGAAAAUGCCGACUUGACGUUUGCUUCCGAUUAGGAAAGAAUUUGUUGCUUGUUAUCUUUAAAUUAUUGACAUGCAAUUUGAAGAAAAGGUUUCUUCUGUGGAUAAAGAAGAGAAGAACGAGAGGAAGGAAGAGUCUGUUUCUCCAUCGUCUACACCUGAUUUAUCGUCUUCUGCAGAACAUAAGAAAUAUCAGAGGCCAAAAUCUGUAUCUUUUCAUAGUGCAUCUAGUUUACCGGCAGAAAGGAAAAUAUCCAGUGGUAAGUUUAUUCAAGGUUAACCUAAUGCAAUAAAUAACUAAAUCACAAAUGUUUGAAGUAAAUUAUAACAUAAUAGUAUAUAUGGUAGUAGUAAUCAAAUCUAUUAAGAUAUUUUUUGAUUUUAUGUCCGAGAUCAUGCGAUUUAAUGUAAAAGCUGUAAUUUGUUAUAAAAUAUAGGAUGG